AUCCACCAUUAACCCUGGAAAUUCAAACUUCCGUUUCCCCAAAAGAAUCUCAAAGCAAGAAAGAUGCAGGAUAUUUCCUGAGGCGUCAGAAGAAUCCAAUGUACUCUGGUGGCCACAGGAAACAGGGAUCUUGAAGUAAAUUAUACAGAAGAAGAAAAAGGACCUGUGCCUGAGAGAACAACUCAGUGCUAGCAUUUCUGAAUACACUCAGGACUCCAUAGACUCUCUGCAGCUCCUGAAAAAGAACCAAGGAGGUACCCAGUGCUUAUGUACACCAAGAACAAAGAACACUAAGUGCAUAAUGGGAUCAGAGUUCCAUCAAUGCCUGCUCUGUAUAUUCCUUUCAAAUCUUACCUGGAGACUGGGAUGACAACCAAAAUCCAG